UACGUAGGUGGCAAGCGUUGUCCGGAAUUAUUGGGCGUAAAGCGCGCGCAGGCGGUCUUUUAAGUCUGAUGUGAAAGCCCACGGCUCAACCGUGGAUGGUCAUUGGAAACUGGAAGACUUGAAUGCAGAAGAGGUAAGUGGAAUUCCAUGUGUAGCGGUGAAAUGCGUAGAUAUAUGGAGGAACACCAGUGGCGAAGGCGACUUACUGGUCUGUUAUUGACGCUGAGGCUCGAAAGCGUGGGGAGCAAACAGG
rnacentral:rRNA from 1 species